rnacentral:rRNA from 1 species
AUGUCCCACGACGAUCCCCCGCCGGCUCCCGCCAAGAAGAAAUCGCCCGCCGAGGAGGCGGCCGAGAAGAGGAGGGAGAAGCUUACCCCUGGGAGUUUGAUGAAGGCGGUUAUCCGGUCAGGCAGGGGAGACGCGACUCCUGCAGAUGGAGAUCAGGUCAUACUUCAUUGCACUAUUCGAACCAUGGAGGGCAUUGUUGUGAAUUCUACAAGAAGGGAACAUGGAGGAAAAGGAAUCCCACUCAGAUUUGUGUUGGGGAAAAGCAAAAUGAUCCUUGGCUUUGCUGAAGGCUUUCCAACAAUGCUGAAGGGUGAAAUUGCUAUGUUUAAAAUGGAGCCGAAAAUACACUAUGCAGAGGAUGAUUGCCCGGUUACACCUCCAGAUGGCUUCCCAAAAGAUGAUGAGCUUCAGUUUGAGGUUGAGAUGUUGGAUUUCUUUAAAGCCAAGGUCGUGACUGAGGAUUUAGGGGUUGUAAAGAAGAUAGUUGAUGAAGGCAAGGGGUGGGAAACACCUAGAGAACCAUAUGAAGUGACAGCACGGAUAACUGCAAGAACAGCAGAUGGAAAAGAAAUUCUUCCCAGUAAAGAAGUGCCAUAUUUCUUCACUUUGGGUAAAUCUGAGGCACCUAAAGGCCUUGAGAUGGGAAUUGGAACAAUGGCACGCAAGGAAAAAGCAACUAUUUAUGUUACCAAUACCUAUUUGACAGAGUCCUCAGUAAUGCCGCAACUUGAAGGCCUUGAAGAAGUUCAUUUUGAGGUGGAACUUGUUCAGUUUACUCAGGUGAGGGAUAUGCUUGGUGAUGGACGCCUCAUAAAGCGCCGUGUAGUUGAUGGAAGUGGUGAAUUUCCUAUGGACUGCCCCCUUCAUGAUAGCUUGUUAAGAGUUCAUUACAAGGGGAUGCUCCUUGAUGAACCAAAGUCAGUAUUUUAUGAUACACAAAUUGAUAAUGAUGGGGAACCAUUGGAGUUCUGUUCUGGAGAAGGAUUGGUUCCUGAAGGAUUUGAAAUGUGUGUUCGACUAAUGCUUCCUGGUGAAAAAUCUAUUGUCACCUGCCCUCCAGAUUUUGCGUAUGAUAAAUUCCCAAGGCCAGCGAAUGUUCCUGAAGGAGCUCAUGUUCGGUGGGAAAUUGAAUUACUUGGAUUUGAAGUUCCCAAGGAUUGGACUGGCUUGACCUUCAAAGAAAUCAUGGAAGAGGCAGAUAAAAUUAAGAACACGGGUAACAGACUAUUUAAAGAAGGAAAAUUUGAACUUGCAAAAGCAAAAUACGAGAAGUUGCUUAGGGAGUAUAACCACGUGCAUCCUCAAGACGAUGAAGAGGGGAAAAUCUUUGCCAAUUCAAGAAGUUCUCUACAUCUAAAUGUAGCUGCUUGCUACCAGAAGAUGGGUGAGUACAGGAAGUCUAUUGAAGCGUGCAAUAAGGUGCUUGAUGCAAAUCCUGUGCAUGUCAAAGCACUCUACCGCCGAGGAAUGUCAUACAUGUUAGGUGGGGACUUUGGUGAUGCAAAGAACGAUUUUGAGAAGAUGGUAACCGUUGAUAAGUCCUCGGAACCUGAUGCUACAGCGGCCCUUGUUAAACUUAAACAGAAGGAACAGGAAAUUGAAAAGAAGGCAAGGAAGCAGUUCAAAGGACUAUUUGACAAGAAGCCAGGAGAGAUAUCUGAAGUUGGUGUGGAGUCCAAGAAUGGUGGCGACACGGCAGGGUCUGGCGAGGCAGUGACAAGUAGGGAUAGAAAUGGAAGCGGGAAGUCUAGUCCUCCGAGUGCAGAGUCAGAUCAUGCCUUUGAUGAAGAGAGGCCAGGACUUAUUGGCCGCAUCUGGCCUUCUGCGAGGCGGAUUUUCUCCUCCCUUGGUAUGAACAGGUGCACAAUACUCUGA